rnacentral:misc_RNA from 1 species
AGAUGGCUUUCUUGUCUCAUAAAAUUUCCAAUUAAAAAAAAAAAAAACUAUAGAAGAUGGCAGCAGGAGCUGAAAGCUGGACCUGCAGAUACUCUUUCAACAAAUUAACCUCUACACUACAGAUGGUUUUCAUGUCUCAUAAAUUUUCCAAUUAAUUUUUAACGGUUCAGUUUUUUCAAACUUUUUUCUUCAAAAUCUGAACUGAAUUGAAAUAUCCGAAAAUAUUAUAAACUUAAAAUGAACCAAUUAUAUAUGAAACUGAACUAAAAAAACCAAAAUUGAUUGGUUCAAUUGUUUUUUUCAGUUUGAACCGAAUUCUGCUCAUCCUUAAACCCUAUUCCUAGGAAUGAACAGAAUUCAGUCUCAGGUCAUUGGUCUUGACAUCAAGAGAUGUUACCAUCUAAGCUUGCUGAUGUCUACAACAUUUCUUAUACUACGAUGCUGUUUAAGCAUAUUAUUCCCAUCAAUGAUUUGCAGUAAU